GUAGGUGGCGAGCGUUGUCCGGAUUUAUUGGGUUUAAAGGGUGCGUAGGCGUCCUGACAAGUUUUAGGUGAAAUGCCCAGGCUUAACCUGGGAGCUGCCUGAAAAACUGUUGGGAUUGAGUACAGACGAGGUAGGCGGAAUUGACGGUGUAGCGGUGAAAUGCAUAGAUAUCGUCAGGAACACCGAUAGCGAAGGCAGCUUACUAGACUGUAACUGACGCUGAGGCACGAAAGUGUGGGGAUCAAACAGGAUUAGAUGCCCUGGUAGUCCACACUGUAAACGUUGAUGACUCGCUGUGUGCGAUAUACAGUACGCGGCUAAGCGAAAGCGAUAAGUCAUCCACCUGGGGAGUACGCCGGCAACGGUG
rnacentral:rRNA from 1 species